rnacentral:rRNA from 1 species
CAACGAAUCUUCCCCAAUGCCGGAAACGGUGAGGGAGCGACGCCGCGUGAAGGACGAAGUUCUUCGGAAUGUAAACUUCUAAAGGGGUUAUGAAAGUCCAGCGCCUAACAUGCGCAAAGAUUGAUCAGAUCCUGAUAAGGGGCGGCUAACUCUGUGCCAGCAGCCGCGGUAAUACAGAGGCCCCAAGCGUUACUGAGAAUCACUGGGUUUAAAGGGUGCGUAGGUGGCGCGUUAAGUCCGUUGUGAAAUCCCUGGGCUCAACCCAGGAAAUGCUUCGGAUACUGGCGUGCUUGAGGCUGGUAUGGGUCACUGGAACUGACGGUGGAGCGGUGAAAUGCGUAGAUAUCGUCAGGAACGCCAAUGGUGAAGACAGGUGACUGGGCCAGUUCUGACACUGAGGCACGAAAGCGUGGGGAGCGAACGGGAUUAGAUACCCCCGUAGUCC